rnacentral:misc_RNA from 1 species
GUGAAUCAUCGAAUUUUUGAACGCAAAUUGCACUCUCUUCGGAGAGUAUGCCUGUUUGAGGGUCAGCCUAAAAAAAAUCGACAUAGUCGCUGUUUUGCGGUUACAUUUGUCGGGAAUUGGGUUAUCUUAAACCUUUUGGGUUUAAGCGGGUUAAAAUUUUCUUUUCGAUUCCACGGACGGUUCUAAGAUUUACUUUCACGUUUAAGGUAUCGGUCUUUUUUUGGCG